rnacentral:rRNA from 1 species
GACGAACGCUGGCGGCGUGCUUAACACAUGCAAGUCGAACGGAAAGGCCCUGCUUGCAGGGUACUCGAGUGGCGAACGGGUGAGUAACACGUGGGUGAUCUGCCCUGCACUUCGGGAUAAGCCUGGGAAACUGGGUCUAAUACCGGAUAGGAGCCAUUUAUAGUGUGAUGGUUGGAGAGUUUUUUCGGUGUAGGAUGAGCUCGCGGCCUAUCAGCUUGUUGGUGGGGUAAUGGCCUACCAAGGCGGCGACGGGUAGCCGGCCUGAGAGGGUGGACGGCCACAUUGGGACUGAGAUACGGCCCAGACUCCUACGGGAGGCAGCAGUGGGGAAUAUUGCACAAUGGGCGCAAGCCUGAUGCAGCGACGCCGCGUGGGGGAUGACGGCCUUCGGGUUGUAAACUCCUUUCGCUAGGGAAGAAGCUUUUUGUGACGGUACCGAGAUAAGAAGCACCGGCAAACUACGU